rnacentral:rRNA from 1 species
CUCCGGUGAUCCGCCGGACCCGACUGCUAUCAGAGUGGGACUAAGCCAUGCGAGUCAACAUAGCAAUAUGUGGCAUACGGCUCAGUAACACGUAGUCAACAUGCCCAGGGGACGUGGAUAACCUCGGGAAACUGAGGAUAAACCGCGAUAGGUCAUCACUUCUGGAAUGGGUAAUGACUUAAAUCUAUAUGGCCCCUGGAUUGGACUGCGGCCGAUCAGGCUGUUGGUGAGGUAAUGGCCCACCAAACCUGUAACCGGUACGGGCUCUGAGAGGAGGAGCCCGGAGAUGGGCACUGAGACAAGGGCCCAGGCCCUAUGGGGCGCAGCAGGCGCGAAACCUCUGCAAUAGGCGAAAGCUUGACAGGGUUACUCUGAGUGAUUUCCGUUAAUGAGAUCUUUUGGCACCUCUAAAAAUGGUGCAGAAUAAGGGGUGGGCAAGUCUGGUGUCAGCCGCCGCGGUAAUACCAGCACCCCGAGUGGUCGGGACGUUUAUUGGGCCUAAAGCAUCCGUAGCCGGUUCUACAAGUCUUCCGUUAAGUCCACCUGCUUAACAGAUGGGCUGCGGAAGAUACUAUAGAGCUAGGAGGCGGGAGAGGCAAGCGGUACUCGAUGGGUAGGGGUAAAAUCCGUUGAUCCAUUGAAGACCACCAGUGGCGAAGGCGGCUUGCCAGAACGCGCUCGACGGUGAGGGAUGAAAGCUGGGGGAGCAAACCGGAUUAGAUACCCGGGUAGUCCCAGCUGUAAACGAUGCAGACUCGGUGAUGAGUUGGCUUAUUGCUAACUCAGUGCCGCAGGGAAGCCGUUAAGUUUGCCGCCUGGGGAGUACGGUCGCAAGACUGAAACUUAAAGGAAUUGGCGGGGGAGCA